UUAGUAACGGCGAGCGAACAGGGAAAAGCCCAGCACCGAAUCGCACGGCCUUCCAGGACGUUGCGAAAUGUGGUGUUUGGGAGGGUCCGCUAUUCCGCGGUUUGGCGAUGCGUCCAAGUCCUUCUUGAACGGGGCCACUUACCCAUAGAGGGUGCCAGGCCCGUAGCGACCGUUGCCGAUUGCGGAAGGAUCUCUCCUUAGAGUCGGGUUGCUUGAGAGUGCAGCCCUAAGUUGGUGGUAAACUCCAUCUAAGGCUAAAUAUAACCACGAGACCGAUAGCGAACAAGUACCGUGAGGGAAAGUUGAAAAGAACUUUGAAGAGAGAGUUCAAUAGUACGUGAAACCGUUUAGGGGUAAACCUGAGAAACCCGAAAGUUCGAACGAGGAGAUUCAGUGUGUUUCGGAUGUUGCGGGUGCCGUUUGGUGACUGUUGUCGUUCGCGGCGAUUGCACUUUAGGUUCGCCGUUUAUAUUCGAACGCAUGCACUUCUCCUCCAGUAGGACGUCGCAACCCGUUGGGUGUCGGCCUGAGGCAUGCAAUUUWGUCUGUUCGGCGGUUUCGAUCGUCCGUUCAGGUUUGUGUUGUCCCGUCCGACUGCUUGACGGUAGAAUUAUGGCGCAGAGCCGCGACUUGCUCGCAUUCGGCCCAAUGCAAGCACAGAAGGUUACUCGAUCAUCGGACUUGUGCCGAUCUCGGGGCCUUUUGACUGUUAGUGUUGGUGUUCCCGGACAGACUCUGUACACGCCUGUUAGCGGCGCUAUAGCUUUGGGUACUUUCAGGGCCCGUCUUGAAACACGGACCAAGGAGUCUAGCAUGUGCGCGAGUCAUUGGGACUAUCGAAUCCUAAAGGCGAAAUGAAAGUAAAGGCAGAGCUUGCUCGGCCAAGGGAAGACGGGUGACGUGAGUCGCYUUGCACUCCCGGGGCGUCUCGUUCUCAUUGCGAGUUGAGGCGCACCUAGAGCGUACAUGCUGGGACCCGAAAGAUGGUGAACUAU
rnacentral:rRNA from 1 species